rnacentral:rRNA from 1 species
GUGGAUUUUUAGCCCUGGUGGGUAGCUUCCCGGAAACGAAAGUCUUCCGGUUCCGGGGGAAGUAUGGUUGCAAAGCUGAAACUUAAAGGAAUUGACGGAAGGGCACCACCAGGAGUGGAGCCUGCGGCUUAAUUUGACUCAACACGGGGAAACUCACCCGGCCCGGACACCGUAAGGAUUGACAGAUUGAUAGCUCUUUCAUGAUUCGGUGGUUGGUGGUGCAUGGCCGUUCUUAGUUCGUGGAUCGAUUUGUCUGGUUUAUUCCGAUAACGAGCGAGACUCUAGCCUACUAAAUAGUAACGAGAUUAUCAAUGUCUCAGUUGCUUCUUAGAGGGAUUUUCGGUGUUUAGCCGCACGAGAUUGAGCAAUAACAGGUCUGUGAUGCCCUUAGAUGUCCGGGGCUGCACGCGCGCUACACUGGCGAAAUCAGCGUGCUGUAUCCAUUCUCGAAAGGGAUUGGUAAACCCAUGAAAAUUUGCCGUGCUUGGGAUCGGAAAUUGCAAUUAUUUUCCGUGAACGAGGAAUUCCAAGUAAGUGCGAGUCAUCAACUCGCUCUGAUACGUC